GACGAACGCUGGCGGCGUGCUUAACACAUGCAAGUCGAGCGGUAAGGCCCUUUCAGGGGUACACGAGCGGCGAACGGGUGAGUAACACGUGGGUGACCUGCCCUCAGCUCUGGGAUAAGCCUGGGAAACCGGGUCUAAUACUGGAUAUGACUCCAUGACGCAUGUUGUGGGGUGGAAAGCCUUGUGCGGCUGAGGAUGGGCCCGCGGCCUAUCAGCUUGUUGGUGGGGUGAUGGCCUACCAAGGCGACGACGGGUAGCCGGCCUGAGAGGGCGACCGGCCACACUGGGACUGAGACACGGCCCAGACUCCUACGGGAGGCAGCAGUGGGGAAUCUUGCGCAAUGGGCGAAAGCCUGACGCAGCGACGCCGCGUGAGGGAUGACGGCCU
rnacentral:rRNA from 1 species